CUGAAGAUACCCGGCGCUUGACAACAGCUAGUCAGCAGUAAAAGGCUGUCACCAUGGAAGAAACCCCAAGCACCAGUUCAAUCAGAUUAUACGAACUCUUGGGAAGCCAAUCAUUUCUGCAGACUCACCUGGAAAUGUAACUGAAAGCAAUGUGGUGAUUCAUGGUCCCGUAACCUGAAGGAUAUGACAAACUGACAAGAUUCAUCAAACAAUGCAAAAAAAAAAAAAAAAAAGAACUGACAGAGGAAAAUAAAA